rnacentral:sRNA from 1 species
CUACUGUAGAGAAUCAUCUGGCCAUCUUGGCAAAGAGAAACGAUCUGAGCAGAAACUACUUUUACCAAACAGUAAAGAUAUUUGCCAACUGGCCAAAGCCCAGGGAACGAAGGGCCUGACCAGCAUAGGGACGUCUAUCAGGAGAUCCUCCCUCUGCAACAAGACUCCAUAUCACCUCUGCCUUCCGAGGCUUGCAGAGGAAGUGGCUUUGCUUCCACACAGAGGUAGUACUAGGAAACUGGCCUGGACACGUUAGCCAUGAAAAUCUGCCUUUCAGUAAAAACUUCUCAUUAUUUAAAUGAUUUCACGUUUUUCAAGCUUCUGGCUGAGUACUUAUCUGUCACCCACGUCACCCACAAAGCCCGGGAUGAUCGACAGCAUUACAGAUUGAGGUUGGGAGGCUGCUAGUCUCACAGUUUAAGAAGAGAAAGGAAAAGAAAUUCAAAGGAAGGCCAAAGAGAUCGAGGAAACGGUAACCAAAAAAUAAGAAUUCAACAAGACCAGCUGGACGCAUGUGAUUGCUUUUAUGAUCCAUUUUGGCAAAACAAGAGGAGAAGGACAGGAGAAAGUGCAGAAGAAGAAAGGGCAAUGUGGUGAUGUGAUUCUGGAGAAAGAGAGGGGUUGAAGUGAUCUAGUCACAAAUCUAGGGAUGUGGGUAACCCUCAACCUGAUAAGAACUCAGAUAAGACAGCAAAAUAGAACCGAGGCCAGGGUGGUGGCCGCUUCCCUGGAACAGGUGACAA